GGCCGCGGCUGGGCGGCUAGUUCAAGUUGCCAUAGCUGCGAGUCUAGGGUGUGAGGAGUCCGUUGCGCCGCUGCGUUUGGUCAGUUGCACCUUCUGGGUCUCUGGCAGCCGCGGGAGCCAGGUGAAGCCUCGGCGAUGAUCCGGCUUUAAGGACCUGGCGUCGUCUUGUCUCAGGUGGUUUGUGGAAGGUGUGGGGCAACCAAAGAUCAUCUACUUAACUAGACCUUUUGCCCUGAAUCUCAUGAAGAAAUGAAAAGAGGCAGGUAUAUGUGCCUAAGAAAAGCACUGAGCUCAGGAGAGAGCAACGCGGAGUUUUGGGGGUGUGCUUUGGUUUGUGUGCAUCAAUGGCGGAUUCAUCCAGUGAUUCAGAGCACUUCCGCUAUAGUGACCGAGUGAGUCGAUGGGCGGCCAGGUCAUGUCGCAGGGAAACUCGGAGUCAUCCUACCAUAGACGUCACAGAGAAGGUCAACAUCAUAACAAGUACUUUACGGGACACCAGUCGGAACCUGCAACAAGUGGACCAGAUGCUUGGGCAAUAUCGAGAAUAUAGUAAUGGACAAGCCGGUACUAUAGAACAUUUAAAAGAAAGCUUGGAACAAUCAAUAGGCCAACUGCGGAGUCAACGUAUAUUGAGAAACUCAAGAGGGAGAAGUAUGUCUGUUACCAGUCUAAGUACAAGUGACCCUGAUGCUGGCAUGAUGGCAGAAGGUCACCAUUUUUCUCCAACUUCACCUCUCAAGAACUAUGAUCCACAAGGAAAUAAAAGAAUUAAAUCCAGAACUGGUGUUCGGUUUAGUCGGGAGACUGAAGACAUGACCCAGUUUCACGCUUUUCAUCAGUCCCUCCGAGACCUCAGCAGUGAGCAAGUUCGCCUUGGCGAGGAUUUCAACAGAGAGCUUUCCAGAAGGAGCCGGUCAGAUGCUGAAACAAAAAAGGCUUUGGAAGAAUUGACUGAAAAACUUAAUGAAGCCCAGAAACAAGAAGUGGUUUCAGAUCGAGUGGAGCGGAGGCUACAGGAGAUAGAGAGAGAGAUGCGCACAGAAAGAGAGCUGGUGGAAAGACGUCAGGAUCAAUUGGGACUGAUGUCAUUAAAGCUGCAGGAGGUAUUGAGGAAACAAGAAGCUAAAGCAGAAGAGAAUGAGGGAGCAAUAAAAAAUAAGCUAAGACAAACUGAAACUGAGAAGAGUCAACUUGAACAGGAAUUGGAGCGAUCUCGCAGGCUGUUGAGUCAGUCGGAAGGCAACAGAGAAAUCCUUUUGCAUCAGGUAGAAGAGCUGCGUACACAACUUACAAAAGCAGAAGGUGAUUCGAAGGGCUUAAAACAUCAAGUAUCCCGGAUUUCCAAGCAACAGUCAGAUCAGGAGGACCAUGAAGACUGGAGGUUUAGGAGAGGGGUAGAGCAAGAAAAACAGGAUCUGGAGAAGCAGAUGUCAGAUUUGAGGGUGCAGCUGAACUUCAAUGCAAUGACAUCUGAGUUAGAGGAAGUGAAACGGUGCAUGGAGCGAAAAGACAAAGAGAAAGCAAAUUUGGCAGCACAAAUAGAGCUUCUAAAAGAAAAGGAUGAUUUGAAAAAUCAGCUUUAUAUAGCAUUGCAACAGAUAGAGAAUCUUAGAAAAGAAUUGAAUGAUGUCUUAACCAGGCGUGCCCUUCAAGAGGAAGAGAUUGACUCUAAGGAGAGGAAACUAAGUGAUAUUCAGUCUCAUCAAGCGGAGCUUGAACAGGAAGUCAAGAAUUCUGUGGAUACCAUUCAAAGACUAGAGAGUGAAUUAAAAAAGCAGAAUAUGGUUCAAAGCCAGAUGAAAUUUGAGAAAGCUCACCUGGAAGAAGAAAUUGCAGAAUUAAGGAAGAGCCAUCUUCAGGACAAAGCUAAACUUCUUGAGAUGCAAGAGUCCAUCAAGGACUUAAGUGCCAUUCGAGCAGAUCUUGCUAAUAAAUUGGCCGAAGAAGAGAAAGCCAAGAAAAUGGUGCUUAAGGACCUUUCUGACCUCACAGCCCAGGCAAAAUCGAAGGAUGAAGAAACAGCUACUGUCAUCACACAGCUGAAGCUGGAGCGAGAUGUUCACCAGAGGGAGCUGGAAGAUCUCACAUCUUCACUGCACAGUGUGAAAAUGAAACAUGAACAAAAUAUUCAGGAGCUGAUGAAGCACUUUAAGAAAGAAAAGAGUGAAGCAGAGCAUCAUAUUAGGACGCUGCAGGUACCUGUGCUGAAUUAUCUUGAUGAU
rnacentral:lncRNA from 1 species